rnacentral:rRNA from 1 species
AUUGAACGCUGGCGGCAUGCCUUACACAUGCAAGUCGAACGGCAGCACGGGAGCAAUCCUGGUGGCGAGUGGCGAACGGGUGAGUAAUAUAUCGGAACGUGCCCAGUCGUGGGGAUAACGUAGCGAAAGCUACGCUAAUACCGCAUACGAUCUAUGGAUGAAAGCGGGGGAUCGCAAGACCUCGCGCGAUUGGAGCGGCCGAUAUCAGAUUAGGUAGUUGGUGAGGUAAAGGCUCACCAAGCCGACGAUCUGUAGCUGGUCUGAGAGGACGACCAGCCACACUGGGACUGAGACACGGCCCAGACUCCUACGGGAGGCAGCAGUGGGGAAUUUUGGACAAUGGGCGCAAGCCUGAUCCAGCAAUGCCGCGUGCAGGGAUGAAAGGCCUUCGGUUGUAACUAGCUUUGUUACGGAACGAAACGGUAGAGGCUCUAAUACAGUUGUCUAAUGACGGUACCGUAAGAAUAAGAC